rnacentral:rRNA from 1 species
UACAGAGGGUGCAAGCGUUGUUCGGAAUUAUUGGGCGUAAAGGGCGCGUAGGCGGUGCGGUAAGUCUGUAGUGAAAGCCCUUGGCUUAACUGAGGAAGUGCAUCCGAAACUGGCAGGCUAGAGUACUAAAGAGGGUCGCGGAAUUCCCGGUGUAGAGGUGAAAUUCGUAGAUAUCGGGAGGAACACCGGUGGCGAAGGCGGCGACCUGGGUAGAUACUGACGCUGAGGUGCGAAAGCGUGGGGAGCAAACAGG